UGGAGAACUAAAAAAGAAAGUGCUGGGC
rnacentral:piRNA from 1 species